GUGGAACUACUGAUCAGGGGCCAGCUGUAUAAAAAAGUGAUUAAUGUUAACUAUAGUUAAGUGGAAACGUCAUCCAAUAAGAAGCGCCUAUUUGAAAGUUUAACUACAAAAUAGUAAUUAAAAAGUGAUUAUGAGUUUUAUACAACCGGCCCCAGGAUUAUACUUAUUAAUCAGAAUAUGUAAAUAUAUAAUAAAUAAAUUGAUAAAUAAUCUAGAAACUUGAUCUUUGACAAUCAUCGUCAUAUGAUCUCGCCCAAAAAUUGUGGAAUGUGGGUAACAUAUCAUGAAACAAAACGACAAAACACUUCCGUGAUUUAUGUUGUAGCCGAAAGAAAGUUGCUUUGCAAUUCAUUAAAAAAUAACACAGUCCUGGAUGAGGUCAAUAAUUUAUAUCCACUAUACAUGUAUACAAUUUGAACGAUGAAGCCCAAAUAAAUGCCAAGGUAUUCUUUGAGACUAUCUUAGAAAUUUGGCUGAGAAAGGUUU